rnacentral:rRNA from 1 species
UACAGAGGGUGCGAGCGUUGUCCGGAAUCACUGGGCGUAAAGGGCGCGUAGGUGGCCUGAUAAGUAGGGGGUGAAAUCUCGAGGCUCAACUUCGAGGCUGCCUCCUAAACUGUCAGGCUUGAGCAGAGUAGAGGCAGGUGGAAUUCCCGGUGUAGCGGUGGAAUGCGUAGAGAUCGGGAGGAACACCUGUGGCGAAGGCGGCUUUCUGGGCCUUACCUGACGCUGAGACGCGAAAGCGUGGGGAGCGAACCGG